GAGGAAAUUCAUAUGUUGGCGUCCAAGGCAUUGUGAAGAAAAUGUGAAUCGGUACACCAAGAGCUUCAGCAACAUGGACGUGUCCAUAAGCAGGUGGGUUUGCAAUAAUUGCUUGGGCUCUAAAAGGUGCACCAGUUUCAAUAUCUGGCUCUGAGCAUGCGGGAAGAAGUGACUCAAUAAUGGCUUUCAGCUCCUUCCUUUGUAAGGUUAUUUCUCCUGGAGCAGAUGGGAUGAGACCUUUAUUUCUGGCCAUAUAUCCUGCCAAAACCCGAGGAUCACCGCCUAAGGGAUAAAAUUCUACACCAGCUGACCUUACAAAACUUCUGAAGUUAGCAUGAGUUGCCAGCC
rnacentral:misc_RNA from 1 species